UACAGAGGCCUCAAGCGUUGUUCGGAUUCAUUGGGCGUAAAGGGUGCGUAGGUGGCGCCGUAAGUCGGGUGUGAAAUUUCGGAGCUUAACUCCGAAACUGCAUUCGAUACUGCGGUGCUUGAGGACUGGAGAGGAGACUGGAAUUCAUGGUGUAGCAGUGAAAUGCGUAGAGAUCAUGAGGAAGACCAGUGGCGAAGGCGAGUCUCUGGACGACUCCUGACACUGAGGCACGAAAGCUGGGGGAGCGAACAGG
rnacentral:rRNA from 1 species